AGAGUUUGAUCCUGGCUCAGGACGAACGCUGGCGGCGUGCUUAACACAUGCAAGUCGAACGAGACGAUUGAAAGCUUGCUUUUGAAAGUCGAGUGGCAAACGGGUGAGUAACGCGUAGACAACCUGCCGUAAAGAUGGGGACAACAGUCCGAAAGGACUGCUAAUACCGAAUGUUGUGGAACUCCCGCAUGGAAGCUCCACUAAAGAUGGCCUCUACUUGUAAGCUAUCGCUUUACGAUGGGUCUGCGUCUGAUUAGCUAGUUGGUGGGGUAACGGCCUACCAAGGCGACGAUCAGUAGCCGGUCUGAGAGGAUGAACGGCCACAUUGGAACUGANACACNGUCCAGANUCCUACGGGAGGCAGCANNGGGGAAUCUUCCGCAUGGGCNCANGCUGACGGANCACNCC
rnacentral:rRNA from 1 species